rnacentral:misc_RNA from 1 species
UGUCGCACCAACUCUGUGUGGGAAACCGCUGGAGGGCCCGUGCUAACUACACGGGGUGGUAACAGACGACACGGAUACCUCCACGCCUUUUUUGGUGUAGAUACCAUGGGCAAUCCGCAGCGAAGCCUCUAAGUCCGGCCGCCGGAUAUGAGGAACGUUCACAGACUAAGUGGAAGUGGGUGGAGCGUUCGCCGCUCUGCUUAAGAUAUAGUCGGUCCCCUUGGGAAACUAAGGGGGUGAGUACACUGCUCGAAAUUUAAACUUGAGCGCAUCUCGGAUAGCGCUCGUGUUAGAAUUUCGGGACCGUCGAUUGCCUCGCGGUUCGACGGCUCUUAAAACGUUCCGUAGGUGAACCUGCGGAAGGAUCAUUACAGAAAGUAAACGCGGAUCAAACCGCGAACUUUUAAACCUUUGACGAUUGACUCAUGUUGCCUCGGCGGGUUCUCUCGCCAGAGGAUACAUCAAAACUCCUGUUUUAACGGUGUUGUCUGAGCUACAAGCAACGAAUCAAAACUUUCAACAACGGAUCUCUUGGUUCUGGCAUCGAUGAAGAACGCAGCGAAAUGCGAUAAGUAGUGUGAAUUGCAGAAUUCAGUGAAUCAUCGAAUCUUUGAACGCACAUUGCGCCCCUUGGUAUCCCGAGGGGCAUGCCUGUUCGAGCGUCAUUUCACCACUCAAGCCUGGCUUGGUGUUGGGCGACGUCCCCUUCAGGGACGCGCCUCGAAACGCUCGGCGGCGUGGCACCGGCUUUAAGCGUAGCAGAAUCUUUCGCUUCAAAAGUUGGGGCCCCGUCUGCCGGAAGACCUACUCGCAAGGUUGACCUCGGAUCAGGCAGGGAUACCCGCUGAACUUAAGCAUAUCAAUAAGCGGAGGAA